UGCCAGCAGCCGCGGUAAUACGGAGGGUGCAAGCGUUAAUCGGAAUUACUGGGCGUAAAGCGCACGUAGGUGGUUUUUUAAGCGAGGUGUGAAAUCCCUCGACUCAAUCGAGGAACGGCCCUGGAAACUGAAUAACUUGAGUGCAGGAGGGGAGAGCGGAAUUCCCAGUGUAGCGGUGAAAUGCGUAGAUAUUGGGAAGAACACCGGCGGCGAAGGCGGCUCUCUGGACUGACACUGACGCUGAGGCGCGAAAGCCGGGGGAGCGAACAGGAUUAGAUA
rnacentral:rRNA from 1 species